GGGACUGUCUCCUAGUUUGCGUUCGUACAGUGCCUGGUGCAAUGAUUCAGAUCUAAAGUGGACAAAUGAGAGAUGCCAGGAAGAGCAAGGGGAGCCAACCGAAAUGAAGGACCCCUGAGGAAUCCAUAAUGCAAUAAAGACUUUAUCAGCAGUGGGAGGAAGAAAAGGAUCACCUGUCAAGCAGAGUGGGAAAGCCAGGAUGGUAGGCAGUGCGGACUGCUGCGCUCUGCUGAAUGCAUAAUGAAACUGCCAACAAGCACAAGUCCUGGUUAUAAUCGCUGCCGCAGGAACAUGCCACCAAACUGCCACCCUCCCCGUGCAUGGGGUAAGAGCAGAGAAAUGCCCUGCAGAGCCCAGCCUUAUUUAUCUGCAGGCUUCUUAACGGCUGUGGAAACAUGGACGCUGGGCUGGCAAUGGACUUGAAGGGUCUGUACGCAUUCUUGCAUAGGACAGGCGACAGCUUAACGGGGAAAAAAGCACGUCCUGGACAAGCAGAGCUUGCUCCUGCUCGUCCUUCUGAACCAGCUCAUCCAUACCCAGGCGGUUUCUUCUUCCCCGUUGCACUAAUCCCUGGGAGGACGGAGGCAGGAAACACCGAGGAAGCUGAAAAGGGCCUGCUGCUUGCUUUCCUAGCCCGAGCAGUCGCUUUCUGUGCUGCC